rnacentral:rRNA from 1 species
AUUGAACGCUGGCGGAAUGCUUUACACAUGCAAGUCGAGCGGCAGCGCGGGGCAACCUGGCGGCGAGCGGCGAACGGGUGAGUAAUACAUCGGAACGUACCCAGUUGUGGGGGAUAGCCCGGCGAAAGCCGGAUUAAUACCGCAUACGACCUGAGGGUGAAAGGGGGGGGAUCGCAAGACCUCUCGCAGUUGGAGCGGCCGAUGGCGGAUUAGCUAGUUGGUAGGGUAAAGGCCUACCAAGGCGACGAUCCGUAGCUGGUCUGAGAGGACGACCAGCCACACUGGAACUGAGACACGGUCCAGACUCCUACGGGAGGCAGCAGUGAGGAAUAUUGGUCAAUGGGAGCAAUCCUGAACCAGCAAUGCCGCGUGUGGGAUGACAGGGCUUCGCCUUGUAAACCACUGUCGGACGGGACGAAAGGAGGGCCUCGGGGCCUCUGGGACGGUACCGUCAAAGGAAGGGUCGGCUAACUACGUGCCAGCAGCCGCGGUAAU